UACGUAGGGUGCGAGGCGUUGUCCGGAAUUAUUGGGCGUAAAGAGCUCGUAGGCGGUGUGUCGCGUCGGUCGUGAAAACUUGGGGCUUAACUCUGAGCUUGCGGUCGAUACGGGCAUCGACUGGAGUUCGGCAGGGGAGACUGGAAUUCCUGGUGUAGCGGUGAAAUGCGCAGAUAUCAGGAGGAACACCGAUGGCGAAGGCAUCCCUGGCCUGCACUGACGCUCAUGCACGAAGCGUGGGGAGCAAACAGGA
rnacentral:rRNA from 1 species